CCUACGGGAGGCAGCAGUAGGGAAUUUUCGUCAAUGGGCGCACGCCUGAACGAGCAAUGCCGCGUGAACGAGGACGGUCUUCGGAUCGUAAAGUUCUGUUGAAGGGGAAAAAGAGCGGAGAGAGGAAAUGGUCUCCGAUUGAUAUUAACCUUCGAGGACGUCCCGGCUACCUACGUGCCAGCAGCCGCGGUAAUACGUAGGUGGCGAGAGUUAUCCGGAAUGAUUGGGCGUAAAGGGUGCGUAGGCGGCCUGCUAAGCCUGGAGUGAAAGGUACCGGCUCAACCGGGACAGGCUCUGGAAACUGGCGGGCUAGAGAGCAGGAGAGGGCGGUGGAACGCCAGGUGUAGCGGUAAAAUGCGUAGAUAUAAGGAAGAACACCAGUGGCGAAGGCGGCCGCCGGGCCUGUUACUGACGCUGAGGCACGAAAGCGUGGGGAGCAAAUAGGAUUAGAUACCCCAGUAGUC
rnacentral:rRNA from 1 species